rnacentral:rRNA from 1 species
GAACUACAAGUGAAAAACUUCAAACUUAAAGGACUUGACGGUAUCCCAAACCGACCUAGAGGAGCCUGUCCUAUAAUCGAUACUCCCCGCUCCACCCAACCUCAACUAGCACAAUAUCAGCCUAUAUACCGCCGUCGACAGCCUACCCUAUGAAGGUCCAACAGUAGACAUAAUAGCCCCCCACUAACACGUCAGGUCAAGGUGUAGCAAAUGUUGAGGAAGAGAUUGGCUACAUUUUUUAUGAUAAAAAAAACGAAAAGUAUUAUGAAAUAAUACAUGAAGGUGAAUUUAGUAGUAAAAUAAACAAGAGUGUUUAUUUUAACACCGCUCUGGGAUGCGUACACACCGCCCG